GAAAAAGGUUUGAAAGUGUCAUCCUUUAUCAGUGAUCGCCACUUAGGUGUUGCUAAAUGGAUUCGUGAAACCCAUCCUGAUGUACAGCAUUACAAUGACCUUUGGCAUGUAAAUAAGAGUUUGAAGAAGAAGUUGUUUGAUGCUAGCAAGGAAAAAGGAAACGAGGUGAUACAACUUUGGAUGAAAUCUAUCAGCCGUCAUUUAUACUGGUGUGCCCGUUCUACAAGACAGGGUUUUGGAGAAAUGGUUGUUGCCAAAUGGGUGUCAUUGAUUCGGCACAUUUCAAACAAACAUAAAGAUCACCCUGAUGAGCUUUAUACUGAAUGUGCGCAUGGUGAGGUUGAGCCACGAGCAUGGAUCCCAGUGGGUAAGUUUACGAAAUAAAAAUCUAACUUGACUCACAAGGGUAAGUACUUAGUCUUGCAAGUGUUGCAUUGUCACAAAAUGUCCUUAUGACAGUAUGACUAGGCCUACAGUACCUCGCCUGUGUGUAUUAGUUCCAAAUGCCUAUCCUAGUGAUAACAAUAUGUACAGUAGAACAAUAUAUUAAUGUACAGUAACAACCCAAAUGGUCACAGAUGUACAUGCAUAUAUGAGUUUUACUACCGGUAUUUCACUCUCUCCAAAAUUUGUAUUUAAUAAUAACGCUGUAAGGUGAAACUACUUGAGCAUUAUAGUUCAAUUUCUAUUAUUGUUGACAGGUACAUCAACUCAUGACAGAUUGUCCAUGAUUUUGUUGGACACAAAGAGAUUGGCUGAUAUCAAGAAACUUUCUUGUGAUGGUCAAACCAGUUGCCUUGAAGGAUUUCACUCAACCCUCAACCACUGGCACCCUAAGAUGCAACAUUUUUCUUGGCUAGGCACAUACUGCAGGUAUAGUUACACAAAUAGAAUAGAUAUUUAUGGCACUACAGGUAUAAUGUCCAUGGCUUUCAUGGUCAAUUGAAACAAACUUACAGUACAAACCUACAGUAUAAACUUACAGGAAGUGUGUAAGUUUGUUUCAGUUGAUGUAAGUUUAGAUCAAUUGAGGUAUACCACACUGCCUAUACAUCAUGUGCAAGAAGUUUCUUCAAGGAACUGUGACUAUACUCACUACUGUACAUACUACAUAGCCAUCUGAUGAAGGACCUUUGCUUAAAAUGUUAAAGUUCUUUCUCAUCAUACAGGAAGUUCAUCCAAGAAUCUC